CGACAAAGUAAGCAGAGCCUUCAGCAUGUCAUGAGGCUCCUGAAACACACUGGAGUUUCAGAUCUUUAAAGAAAAAGGUUUUGGUAAACACUUUAGGCUUCUACGCAGGACUCUGAAGAGCUACAGUACAGGAAAAAAUUUUUCGGGUAAUUCCAUGUCUAACGUCAAUGAUAAUGGAGCGACAUACUAGAAGGCAAAAAAUAACUGGAAAUCUUUGCACAAGGGGCAACAUCACGAAGAGAGGCCAAACAUCUAAGGAAGCAGCAGCAGUGCAAGAGUCCUCCUUCUAACUUCUCAUUUAAAUAGUUGAGAAAAAGAUGCCUAUCUGCAGAAUAAAAUAAGAAAAAAAAAUCAAUCAAAUUAGUUAUUGUU
rnacentral:lncRNA from 1 species